ensembl:lncRNA
GCCACACAAGGUAAUGCAGGUGUUUUUUAUGUUAAAUACUUUCUCUUAUCCUAAUUUAUAAAAAAUGAUUUCACCCUACUAAUAAACACUUUGUCUCUGUGGUGCUAUCAACAGAUUGCUCUGUUUGUCUGAACAUCCCAAAAAGCCCAACACCGCAUCAUCAUUGUGUGCCGUGGGACAGACCCUCAGUGAGCGGAGGAAUCGUGAUCGAGGCAAACACCGGCCCACCUGCGAUCCGGAUCGGGUUCUGUGCUCUCCACUGGUGGCAGGGAGGUAUGAUAACAGCUUCGUCCUGAUCCCUAUCGCUCCUGCUCUCCUCUACUAUGGUGGUACAACAGAUUUGUUGUCUGUACUGCGGUGGUAUCAAUUCAUGUCAAGUCAAGUCAAGUCCGCUUUAUUGUCAAUUCUUCCACAUGUACAGUACAUACAUAAGGGGGGAGGGUGGGGGGGGGGGCAAGGUGGGAGGGAGUUCAGCUUCCUAAAAGCCUGGUGAAUGAAGCUGUCCUUCAGUCUGCUGAUCCUGGCCUGGAGACUCCGCAGUCUCCUCCCUGAUGGCAGCAGGCUGAAGAAGCUGUGUGACGGGUGAGUGGGAUCACCUGGGAUGCAGAGGGCUUUACGGGUUAGAUGGGUUCCAUAAAUGUCCUGGAGGGAGGGGAGGGAGACACCAACGAUCUUCUCAGCUGCUCUCACUAUGCGUUGGUCUCACUAUGCGUUGUAUGUUUGUGGUCCGAGUCCGGUUCUUGACUUGUCCCUGGGCACAUGCCACCCUAAGCUGCCCUGAUAGUGGUAGAGAAAUCUACCUGCUUUAAAUGACUAAUUGAGUUUAGAUAAAAAAUAGAAAAUGCACAUGGAAGCCUAAAAUUACAUGACUAAAAUAUGGUCCAUGGUCAAUGUUCUUAUUAACAGUUGAAUUUGAAUUUUACCGUUGAAUUGCAAAAAAAAUUUUUUUAUGGUUAAACUAUUUCUUUAAAAACUCAAUGUAUUUGGAGAAAUAUAGGUUGUUGUAUAAGUAUUUUUAAGUAAUUUCUAUUCAACAAAGAGUCUUGAGGAAAUGCAUUACUGUAAUUGUGCUUACGAAUAGCACAUAUUCCCAGAGUUCUCUAACACUCUCCAUGACAUUUACAUGUUUUCUUUGCUGGAGUCUCAACUGGGCGCUGACUUGCACCUGUCUGCAGCGGCAGCAGCUUGUUAAGGUCACAGCUGAGCAGAACACAGAGGUCUAACGGAUGUCCAAACACUGUCUGUCCCUUCACCGAAUGUGCCCGGCAUAUUCAUUAUUCAGUAGCUGCAGCCACGCUCCGACAGCUCCACUAGAAUGAUUACCCUGACUCCUCAACUGGACUAUUAAUUUGAAAAACCUCCGUGAGGAAUUCCUGUUAGCUUUAUUGAAAUCUGUCGGCACAGCUACUUCCUUGCAAUCUCCGCUGUUAACUGUUAGCCUCUCUCCCUCCGGGGCAGUAAGUGCUCUCUAGACCCAUAUUUGAUUCUUAUUCCAGGUCGACGGAGUAUAAACCCAAAAUAUUUUAUUCCCAGUGAAUUUAGAGGUGUCAUAAAGUGAUCACAAGUGUGAUCACCUCUAAAAUACAGUGUAAUGAGAUCAAAUUUCCUUAUAUUUUCACAGCAUGUUGUUUACUUGUUAAUAUUAUCUUUUACUUUAGCAUCAGUUUGGUUCCUUUAGGGUUGUAUUUUUACUGUAAACAGUCUCUAAAGUCUUCAGGUGCAUAUAUUUCAGUUUAUUUGCCACUUAAAAAAGAAAAAAACUACAUUUCAUAACAUUGCAUAGGAGUGCCGCUCAGAAAAUACUGCUGGCUGCAGUCUCUCCAGUACCAAUAAUAAAAGCAANAAAUAAUAAAAUGAACAUUUUUGUGUAUAAUGAGAUUUUUUUUUUUCAUCAUUUUUUUUCAUUGUUGUCUCUCUCUUAAACCCAUUUAUCACUCACUUUUUAUUCCCAGUGUGUUUUUAAAACAGGCCCACAGAACAAGCUAUUGAUUGAAAUGACCUCUGAGCAUAAUAAGAGCUCAUAUGCUAAUGGUGCUUAUCAUUUCUGUUAGUACCCUGCAG